UGGGACCCCUGGCCCUACCUCAGGACCCCAGGGCCAGUCACAGCCCUCGGCCCCCAGCACCAAGCUCAGUAGUGGGACCCUCAGAAGUGCCAGCAGCCCCCGAGGUGCCCGGGCACGCUCCCCAUCCCGGGGGAGACAUCCUGAAGAUGCCAAGAGACAACCUCGAGGCCGACCCAGCUCCAGCGGGACACCCCGAGAUGGGCCGGCUGGGGGAACUGGGGGCUCAGGGGGCCCUGGGGGCUCCCUGGGUAGCAGAGGCAGACGUAGGAAGCUCUAUUCAGCGGUACCUGGACGCUCCUUCAUGGCGGUGAAGUCAUACCAGGCGCAAGGCGAGGGGGAGAUCUCUCUGAGUAAAGGCGAAAAGAUCAAAGUGCUCAGCAUCGGGGAAGGAGGCUUCUGGGAAGGCCAGGUCAAAGGUCGAGUUGGCUGGUUCCCUUCUGACUGCCUAGAAGAGGUGGCAAACCGUUCCC
rnacentral:lncRNA from 1 species